rnacentral:lncRNA from 1 species
CAUAACUGACUUUCUUAUUUUCUUCAUUUCCCCAACUAGGCUUUAGUUGAAGUGUCAAAUUAUCAUCCUUGCGUUUGCACAGCUAUCUGCACUCUGGGAUUGCCCCUGCUGCUGCUCUCAGGCAUAAAGGAAAACUCUGGGUUAACUCCUCCAGGUUCAUUGAUCUCAAAGCUUGGAAUCAAGGUCCCACUUUCUUCUUAGAGAUCUGCUCCUUCCCUUUUCCAGCUGCCAAAAAAACAGAGUGCUCCUGCCAGGUUUCAGAAACUGCAGUCUUUUGAUGAUGCAAGAAAUCACUGUGUUUUGGUACAAGCUUUGGAAAGCUCUGGGGAUCCAGCUUAGAAGGAGAUCAGCCAAAACAAAGGGUGAGGAGGGAGUGGGAGAAAUAAGCUGUUUGAUCCAACGUCAAAUCCCACCACUGACUCCUCUGAAUGAGGCUAUCAGAUGAAGCCCUGUAGCAGUGAGCUGUGUGAAACUGAAAUCGGAGAUUCCACUUACCUUCUGCCUCUUAGAAUCAGACAAACCCUCCACACAGCAAGAGGAUGAAUGGGUCAGUGGGGAGCCUUUGAAGAAUGCUGGAGAAGGACUUGGACAUAUACAAUGAUCUGGAAACAGUCAAAAUCCAGUUGCUGUUUGGCUCUCUGCUUCCAGGGAAAUGUCACAGAAACAGAAUAGGAACUGAAAGCCAGGGUAGAGAGGAUGAUGGACAGAGCCAAGAACCUCCCAGAAGAAUCAGAAAUGGACAAAGGCCUUGGGGAAAGGAGGCAACACUUCAAAUCCCGGCAAGACAAGGGCAGGGCAGGGUGAAAUGUCCUGAAGACACAGAGUUGGGGCAUCCCUUUGAAGGUCCCGGACAAGAUAAGGAGAAAGCUGAGGAAGUCCGUCUAUGGAGGAAAACACAAAAGGACAGGAGGACCAGCAAAGAGAGCUACAUAACGGAUCGCGCAGCCACAGAAAGACCUCAUUUCCCGUCAGCUGUAAAAUUCCCAGGGGCUUGGCAAUAUUGUGUUUCCUGCCUUAGGAUUUCACGAACCCGACUGCUUAUGUUAAAUUGCCCUUCGCGUGAGCUGAAUCAAGUGGGGUCCCCGUGCAACGAACAGAACCCCGUGUACUUGUUCAAGGUCCGUGUCACCCUAUUGAAGGUCCAGCCUGUGGACUCAGAGGUCACACUGAUGGCAUGGUCCCCCACCUCGCUCCACUGCAGCUCUG